rnacentral:rRNA from 1 species
CAAUAGCGUAUAUUAAAGUUGUUGCAGUUAAAAAGCUCGUAGUUGGAUUUCUGGUUGAAGCGACCGGUCGGGCGUUGAUUCGUCUGCACUGGAGUCGGUUUUGGCCAUCCUCUAGGAAAGUGCGUCUGGUAUUAAGUUAUCGGGCGUAUGAUCCUGGUCUUUUACUGUGAAAAAAUUAGAGUGUUUAAAGCAGGCCUUCGCCUUGAAUACAUUAGCAUGGAAUAAUAAGAUAGGACUUUGGUCUAUUUUGUAGGUUUGCAGACCGAAGUAAUGAUUAAUAGGGAUAGUUGGGGGUAUUUAUAUUCCGAUGUCAGAGGUGAAAUUCUUAGAUUUUCGGAAGAUAAACUUAUGCGAAAGCAUUUACCAAGGAUGUUUUCAUUAA